rnacentral:sRNA from 1 species
CAUGCCCCUUAUACGCUGGGCUACACACGUGCUACAAUGGGUAGAACAGAGAGUUGCAAAGCCGUGAGGUGGAGCUAAUCUCAGAAAACUAUUCUUAGUUCGGAUUGUACUCUGCAACUCGAGUACAUGAAGUUGGAAUCGCUAGUAAUCGCGAAUCAGCAAUGUCGCGGUGAAUACGUUCUCGGGUCUUGUACACACCGCCCGUCACACCACGAGAGUUGGUUGCACCUGAAGUAGCAGGCCUAACCGUAAGGAGGGAUGCUCCGAGGGUGUGAUUAGCGAUUGGGGUGAAGUCGUAACAAGGUAUCCGUACGGGAACGUGCGGAUGGAUCACCUCCUUUCUAAGGAGACAAAGUCUUUCUCUAUUCUAUUGGUAAUGUUCUUUACAUUACUUCUGAACAUUGGAAACUAUAUAGUAGAACAAACAAGAAAAAAAUUAACUCUAACAAUUUCUUAGAGUUAGCUGUCAAAAAAUAGAUUAAAAUAAUUAAGGGCACACAAAGGAUGCCUAGGUAGUAAGAGCCGAUGAAGGACGUGGUAAGCUGCGAUAAGCCUAG